UAAGUAGAUAGUGAAAGCGUUCGGCUCAACCGGAUAUACAUUAUCUAAACUGCAAAGCUAGAGGAUGAGAGAGGUUAUUGGAAUUCCCUGUGUAGGAGUGAAAUCCGUAGAUAUAGGGAGGAACACCGAUGGCGUAGGCAGAUAACUGGCUCAUUCCUGACACUAAGGCACGAAAGCGUGGGAGCAAACGGGAUUAGAUACCCCGGUAGUCCACGCCGUAAACUAUGGAUGCUA
rnacentral:rRNA from 1 species